rnacentral:piRNA from 1 species
UUCAAGAGUAAACAACAAAAUCAGCGGGC